GCAUCGGUGGCGAAUGGAACACACACAUCAGCGUUGUGGGCGGCCUUCAUUUGCAAUUGAAAUGGUGAGACGGGGUUCGAUUCCCCGCCGGUGCA